GUUGCUAGAGGAUUGUCCUAUCUGCAUCAGAGUUGUCGCGAGUGCAUCAUACACUGCGAUAUUAAGCCAGAGAACAUACUUUUGGAUGCAUCAUUUGUUCCUAAAGUUGUGCACUUUGGAAUGGCAGCGUUUCUCAGAAUGGAUUUUAGCCGAAUUCAGACUACAUUUAGAGGAGCUGCAGGUUAUCUUGCCCCAGAGUGGCUUAGUGGAGUUGUGAUCACACCAAAAGUCGAUGUUUACAGCUUCAGCAUGGUGCUGUUGGAAAUCAUAUCAGGAAGGAGGAAUCCCUCACCUGAACCAUCACACUAA
rnacentral:rRNA from 1 species